UUUUCGAGUGAUGUUUAUUUUCAGCCGUAAUUAAUUAAAUGCUAUGAAACAGUUUUUUCUUUAGACGAAUUGCAGUGACCUGGUUGCAACAACGCAUAAUCCGCAGUAUUUUAGCAUAUUUCAACUGUAAUCAUGAGUGAAAAUUUCAAAACAGAAUCCUUCGUGAAAUCUGUGGUUUCGACUUGUUCGAAGAGAAAAUCCCCGGGAAGAAUUUCACUUCAUAAGUUUCCAAACAGUGAAACAAAUCAAUCGCUAUAUCAGGAGUGGUGUCGUGCACUGCGGCUCAAAUCAAAACCGUCAUCAUUUGCCAAAAAUCAUCUGAUCAACGAAAAUUGAUACUCAAAAACGGCGUCGUCCCAAAAUUAACUAAGCAGGGUGUUGAAAUCUAGGAAAAUAAUUGUAUGAUGGAUCAGCAGGACCACAUUUUGCAGGCAAAUCUCACUUUGUUGGCGGAACCUACGAUUUCCCAUACAUCUCAGGACGUGACACAUGAAGAGGACUCGGUUUCAAACACAAGAUAGGCUCUGAAGAAGGAUACAUCGGUACAAGUAAAUACGGAGGAUAUGGACAAUUUAUUCAAAAAGAAAAUUCGAUUCGAAAAUUGUCGAUAUUAAAACGGAAGUACAACUUA